rnacentral:lncRNA from 1 species
AUAAAUUCUUGUUCAAAAAAUAAGAUCUAUAAAUUAUAAAGUGUUAAAGUUAUUUUUUACAUGCAAUUAAAGCAGAAAAACAUGUUUGAAAUUGUCAAAUUUAUUCAUGUUAUAUUUAUUUUUCUUUCCAUAUUUCUUGUUUCAACGAACGUAAAUGGUAAACCAUUUUUUUUCCUUUUCAAAUUCUAUUCCUUGCUUCUUACGCAACAUAUUAUUCCAAUUUUAUUACAUUUUUCUUUUCUCUUUCUAAAUUACAGCUGGUUAUAGAUGUAAUUCACAUGCAGCUUGUGUAGACAAGCACUGUUACGAGCCUAAAGUACCGAGGUGUAUCAAAACCCGUUGUAACUGUGUUGACUUGAGGUAUUGGCAAGAUGUGGAUGGAGCACAUUAUGAUGUUUUAGGUCAUGUACCAAAAUAAUUCAGUAUUUAAACUACUCCUAAGAUCGAUCCAUGAGUAUAUGAAUGUCAUGCUUCAAUAUUUUAUGGGUUGUACAUCAUUUAUUUAUUGCGUAUAAAAUAAAUUUUUUUCUUCUUUUUCCUAAUUUCAAGAACCUUGUAUUUUAGGAUUUGUACUUUAAAUCGGUGGUAGUGAAAUGAAAAUAAGACAGCAAAUAGUAUCUUAUCUUCUUCUCUUUUAAUUUUAGAGAUAUAUGUUUUCAAUUCAGGCAUACUUAUAAGACUAUAUGAUUUUAUAGUUGUCAUAAAGUUGUUACACAUUUUAUUUUU